rnacentral:rRNA from 1 species
AGAGUUUGAUCCUGGCUCAGAUUGAACGCUGGCGGCAUGCCUAAUACAUGCAAGUUGAAUGUGAAAGUCACUUUGGUGGCGAGUAGAGUGGUGGACGGGUGAGUAACGCAUGGGAAACUACCUUACAGUGGGGGAUAACCCGAGGAAACUCGGGCUAAUACCGCAUACGACCUACGGGUGAAAGGGGGCUUCGGCUCUCGCUGUUGGAUGAGCCCAUGUCCGAUUAGUUGGUUGGUGAGGUAAAGGCUCACCAAGGCGAUGAUCGGUAGCUGGUCUAAGUGGAUGAUUAGCCACACUGGGAUUGAGAUAUGGCCCAGAUUUUUAUGGGAGGUAGUAGUGGGGAAUAUUGGAUAAUGGGGGAAAUCCUGAUCCAGUAAUGCCGCGUGUGUGAAGAAGGCCUGUGGGUUGUAAAGCACUUUCAGUGGGGAAGAAAAGCCGAGGGUUAAUAUCCCUUGGUCUUGACGUUACCCACAGAAGAAGCACCGGCUAACUCCGUGCUAGUAGUUGUGGUAAUACGGAGGGUGCGAGCGUUAAUCGGAAUCACUGGGCGUAAAGCGCACGUAGGUGGUUGGGUAAGUCAGAUGUGAAAUUCCUGGGUUUAACCUGGGAACUGCAUUUGAAACUGCUUGGCUAGAGUCCAAUAGAGGGGGGUGGAAUUUUAGGUGUAGUGGUGAAAUGUGUAGAUAUUUGGAGGAAUAUUAGUGGUGAAGGUGGCCCCCUGGAUCGAGACUGACGCUGAGGUGCGAAAGCGUGGGUAGUAAACAGGAUUAGAUAUCCUGGUAGUCCACGCUGUAAACGAUGUCAACUAGCCGUUGGGUUUAUUUAAGGGUUUAGUGGUGUAGCUAACGUGAUAAGUUGACCGCCUGGGGAGUACGGCCGCAAGGUUAAAACUCAAAGGAAUUGACGGGGGCCCGCACAGGCGGUGGAGCAUGUGGUUUAAUUUGAUGCAAUGUGAAGAAUCUUAUCAGCCCUUGACAUCCUCGGAAUCCCAUAGAGAUGUGGGAGUGCCUUCGGGAGCCGAGUGACAGGUGCUGCAUGGCUGUCGUCAGCUCGUGUCGUGAGAUGUUGGGUUAAGUCCCGUAACGAGCGCAACCCUUGUCCUUAGUUGCCAGCGAGUGAAGUUGGGAACUUUAAGGAGACUGCCGGUGAUAAACCGGAGGAAGGUGGGGAUGACGUCAAGUCAUCAUGGCCCUUAUGGGCUGGGUUACACACGUGCUACAAUGGCCGGUACAGAGAGUUGCGAAGUGGUGAUGUGGAGCCAAUUUCGCAAAACCGGUCGUAGUCCGGAUCGCAGUCUGCAACUCGACUGCGUGAAGUCGGAAUCGCUAGUAAUCGCGAAUUAGAAUGUCGCGGUGAAUAUGUUCCCGGGCCUUGUAUACACCGCCCGUCACACCAUGGGAGUUGGUUGCACCAGAAGUAGGUAGCUUAACCUUUGGGAGGGCGCUUACUACGGUGU